GAGAGAUAUUGUUUGGAAAUGGGACAAAGAUUGACAUCAAAGGAGCCGACAAUCAGACGGCCGUAAUAGCUCUGUUUCUGUUAUCAGCUGCUUUGGCUAUAAGCUUGAUUAUUAUAGCUUUCCUGAUUCAUAUCAUCAAGACUAAAUCGUGUGAGUCCAGCAAAGCUGCUGAAGUUCUGCAACACAUCCUGCAGCAGAUCGACG